UCCCCUGGAAGGCCAAUUCUUCCUUGUUCCUCCUUCUGGAGGUCAGUGCUCAAUCCUGAUUGGAGUAGACAUCCGAGUCCAUUUCCAU
rnacentral:snoRNA from 10 species